UUUCAAAGUUGCGACUUCCAUUCCAGACUAUGCUUUAAAGUAUUUUGAAUCGGUCAUACACAGCCACGCCCCAUGAGCGCAUCCGAGUUUACAACUGUCAAGAACAUUGCAAGUUCGCUUUUCUUCAAUAUGAGCAACACAACGUUUGCAUGUGACACUUAAUUUUACGGUGAGUUGUUAGAGGUCAUCAGGGAGGCUUUGGUCAUUUCGAUCAUGACAUUGGUGACUUUAUUGUGGAUAAAGUUCCAAUUCAAGAUUUCAUCAUUCCGACCGCCAACUCGAAUCAACAAGAUGGCGCCUCUCUUCCCGCCCUUGUAAGUGCAACGGAAACUUUGACAAAUUCAGUGCCAAUUUUUGGGAUGAGUGAAUCAGUGUCACAGCUCGAUUUCAUCGUGGAAUCAGAAACAGGCGAAUAUGUCUGUUCACACUGCUAUUGUCAACCAUGAGCGACAUAGCACAGGCAAUAGUAGUUGGGGAAUGGUGUGGCCACCAUGUGGCAGAAAUUCGUUGAUUCGAAAACAGUGCUGCCAAUACUUCUGGACUGAGCUAAAUAGACGAAGUGUAUGGAGAGAUCGUAGACACUCGGACUUGAAGAAAUGGAUAUUAAACAUAGCAGCAGAUUAAGGAUUGGUGUGGACAAAACUUGAAAGUGAUCCCAGUUUGUAUUUUAAAACUUGUGCGCGAAGUAAAAGAGUUUCACUCGGGAA